rnacentral:lncRNA from 1 species
GUGCGGAAGUCAAAACGAAGCAAAACCGAAGCUGUCUUGUGAAAUGGAGGGGUCCUCACUAACCAGUUCCAGCGGAGGCUAACGGAAGAAGUGCCAGCAAUGGAUGUGCAGCUACAUGCACGCUUUUAAUUCAGAGCUUCUGCGACGGUGGCGAUCAGGGGAUCUGUAAUGUAAUGUAAUGUCAAGGCUGACGCAGAGCUGAUCAAACAUUUUGGCAACCUUAGUCUUGAAUUGAUUCACACUUUCUCCGCGUUGCCUCCGGAGUUUGCUGUAGGGUAAUGAAUAUUGCCUGGGUCCAGACUUCUCUUUCCUCGGAGUCUGGUGGACUUGGUUCUGCCUCAGCUUCCCAUGCAGACUUUUCUGCAAGAGAACGGAAAUCCCAGAAGAUGGAUGUGUGCAUGUCUGGUGACAAGGGCAGGGGAUGUAUGAUGUGAGCAGGUGCCUGUUUAAUCUAAUUUCUAGGAGAGCAAAGAUUCUAGGGAAGCUUUGGAGUGAAUUCAAAGGGUAGAGAACUGGGGAGAAACUAAAGCCAAGAGGAUCUAGUACAAAUGUGGGAAGCUUGGCAAAGCCCGGGUGAAACAGAAUAUAAUAAUAAGUGUGAUUUGUGGAUCUGUUUAAAAUUAUUAUUAUAGUUACAAUUUACCAAAUACUCUGUUCCCAGUACUUUACUAUAAAGUGCAUUAUGUACGGUAUGGUUUUGUUUUUCACAAUGUCCUUAUUUUACAUUGUGUAACUUGCUCAUGGAAUGACUGUGUAUCCCCUGAAUAGCAAACAUACUUAGUUCUGUCCCUGCAGAGCAGAGUAGAGCUCAAUACACAUCUUUGAACC